GCUAACGUAGACGCGUCCUGAGGCUUCCCUUCGCGCCCUUCCGCUCGAUCUCGAAGGCAUUCUGAAGGUUUUUUACUCGUCUGUUUGGCAGCAGCUGGUAGUGAUGCGCGUCUCGUGCCAGCCGCUCCAGGCGGCUCUGGCUGUUCUCCUGCUCAUCCUAUUCAUGCAGGAACUAGAUGCGGCGCCGGUGCCAGCGGUGGCGAAGCCGUCCAUCCCCGAGAUCCGAACGGGCAUGGAAAUAAAGAGCGGGCCACCGCCCUUCCUCGGCUGAACCGCGCUGCAAGCCAGGCUUUUCAUGGGCUGGGCGGCGGUUCAAAAGCACGCCUUUACGCCCAGUUUUGUCCUGGAGGCCCGCAUGGAACAGCCUGGAGUUCUGCUGCGAGGAUGCGAUGCUGGGAAAGCCAUUCAUCGUAUGGUGGUCGUUCAAAGUGCGCUCUUGUUGUCAGCAGGUCUGUGGUAAGAUGCUGUAACGGUUUGUGACUGACGUCACUGGAGUACACUGAACCGUCGUCACUUUAGUACCGCCGGCUUAGGGGGCGAGGGGGGGAUCUUGUAGCAUAUCUGGCUGCGCGUGAAACGAUAACUGCAGUCGAUGGCUUCCAGCAAACAUGGUGUUUCACUUGAAAUGUCAAUUUUAAGUGCAGGUAUGGAUAUUAAACAUUUCCCAAGUACAUGCUUUCAAGCAAGCCUUGUUCAAAUUGCCAGACACUUAAUGUGGAGCCUCACACACAAUCAUUAGGCCCCCGUCUCCGCGCUGAGCGGCGAAACACGCUAUUUGCAAGACGUUCGCAGGCGCGGGUCAUUCCGGACGUUGGAGUAGCGCGUUCGCGUUCAGAGGCUGUUGUGGAGACAUCUUGCAAGGCGGAUGGAGCACCGGCUAUAAAAAAACAGGGAUGUCCAAACGUUCAAACAUUGGUAAGGUAAGGAGGUGUGCUAAUAAAUGUUUUUAUACAUGUCACAGCGUUUUUGAAACAGACGUUUGAAAUAAAACACCUUGUAGCACGA